rnacentral:lncRNA from 1 species
GAUUACAGAUUACAGAUUACAGAAAAGAGAAGGCCUUCAGUCAAAACGUGCGACUGCUAGCCUAUACAUGAAAGGUAGUUUAAAAGAUAAGUGGUAAUGAAACAGGAAAAAAUUUUCUUGUUGUUGUAGUUGUUGCUAAGCAGCACAUAGUAUCAAGGGUGCACAUAACAACACAGCAARUAGAAAGGACAUUGGAUGGUCCAGGGCCAAGCGCACACAUCAAGAUGGGCGACACACAUGACUUUGGCAAAGUAAUGUAAGGGGAAAAGCACACUGCCUGCCAUGUCUGGUUAAAAAGUGGAGACCAGAAACAAAAGAGAUG